rnacentral:rRNA from 1 species
CGGGUACGGGGACCGUGUCAGGCGGGCAGUUUGACUGGGGCGGUCGCCUCCUAAAGAGUAACGGAGGCGUUCCAAGGUUCCCUCAGAAUGGUUGGAAAUCAUUCGAAGAGUGCAAAGGCAUAAGGGAGCUUGACUGCGAGACCUACAAGUCGAGCAGGGACGAAAGUCGGACUUAGUGAUCCGGUGGUACCGCAUGGAAGGGCCAUCGCUCAACGGAUAAAAGCUACCCUGGGGAUAACAGGCUUAUCUCCCCCAAGAGUCCACAUCGACGGGGAGGUUUGGCACCUCGAUGUCGGCUCAUCGCAUCCUGGGGCUGAAGUAGGUCCCAAGGGUUGGGCUGUUCGCCCAUUAAAGCGGUACGCGAGCUGGGUUCAGAACGUCGUGAGACAGUUCGGUCCCUAUCUGUCGUGGGCGCAGGAAAUUUGAGAGGAGCUGUCCUUAGUACGAGAGGACCGGGAUGGACGUACCGCUGGUGCA